rnacentral:rRNA from 1 species
UACGAAGGGGGCUAGCGUUGCUCGGAAUCACUGGGCGUAAAGGGUGCGUAGGCGGGUCUUUAAGUCAGGGGUGAAAUCCUGGAGCUCAACUCCAGAACUGCCUUUGAUACUGAGGAGCUUGGAGUCCGGGAGAGGUGAGUGGAACUGCGAGUGUAGAGGUGAAAUUCGUAGAUAUUCGCAAGAACACCAGUGGCGAAGGCGGCUCACUGGCCCGGUACUGACGCUGAGGCACGAAAGCGUGGGGAGCAAACAGG